rnacentral:rRNA from 1 species
UGCGAAGGGGGCUAGCGUUGCUCGGAAUCACUGGGCGUAAAGGGUGCGUAGGCGGGCCUUUAAGUCAGGGGUGAAAUCCUGGAGCUCAACUCCAGAACUGCCUUUGAUACUGAGGAUCUUGAGUUCGGGAGAGGUGAGUGGAACUGCGAGUGUAGAGGUGAAAUUCGUAGAUAUUCGCAAGAACACCAGUGGCGAAGGCGGCUUACUGGUCCGGUUCUGACGCUGAGGCGCGAAAGCGUGGGGAGCAAACAGG